rnacentral:rRNA from 1 species
AGAAUCAACGCUGGCGGCGUGCCUAACACAUGCAAGUCGCACGAGAAAGGGACUUCGGUCCUGAGUACAGUGGCGCACGGGUGAGUAACACGUGAAUAAUCUACCUCCGAGUGGGGAAUAACUGAGAGAAAUCUUAGCUAAUACCGCAUAACACUUACGAGUCAAAGCAGCAAUGCGCUUGGAGAGGAGUUCGCGGCAGAUUAGUUAGUUGGCGGGGUAAUGGCCCACCAAGACGAUGAUCUGUAUCCGGCCUGAGAGGGCGCACGGACACACUGGAACUGAAACACGGUCCAGACUCCUACGGGAGGCAGCAGUGGGGAAUUUUGCGCAAUGGGGGAAACCCUGACGCAGCAACGCCGCGUGGAGGAUGAAAUAUCUUGGUAUGUAAACUCCUUUCGAUGGGGAAGAUAAUGACGGUACCCGUAGAAGAAGCCCGGCUAACUCGCGCCAGCAGCCGC